CCUACGGGUGGCAGCAGUGAGGAAUAUUGGUCAAUGGGCUUACGCCUGAACCAGCCAAGUCGCGUGAGGGAAGACUGCCCUAUGGGUUGUAAACCUCUUUUGUCAGGGAGCAAUUGGCGCUACGUGUAGCGUUAUCGAGAGUACCUGAAGAACAAGCAUCGGCUAACUCCGUGCCAGCAGCCGCGGUAAUACGGAGGAUGCGAGCGUUAUCGGGAUUUAUUUGGUUUUAAGGGUGCGUAGGCGGAAUGCCAAGUCAGCGGUAAAAUCGCGGGGCUAACCCUCGCUGCGCCGUUGAAACUGGCGGUCUUGAGUGGACAAGAGGAAUGCGGAAUGCGUGGUGUAGCGGUGAAAUGCAUAGAUAUCACGCAGAACUCCGGUUGCGAAGGCAGCAUACCGGCGCCCAACUGACGCUGAAGCACGAAAGCAUGGGUAUCGAACAGGAUUAGAUACCCUUGUAGUC
rnacentral:rRNA from 1 species